rnacentral:rRNA from 1 species
GGGGAAUAUUGGGCAAUGGGCGCAAGCCUGACCCAGCAACGCCGCGUGAAGGAAGAAGGCUUUCGGGUUGUAAACUUCUUUUGGCAGGGACGAAGAAAGUGACGGUACCUGCAGAAUAAGCUCCGGCUAACUACGUGCCAGCAGCCGCGGUAAUACGUAGGGAGCAAGCGUUAUCCGGAUUUACUGGGUGUAAAGGGCGCGUAGGCGGGAAUGCAAGUCAGAUGUGAAAUCUGAGGGCUCAACCCUCAAACUGCAUUUGAAACUGUGUUUCUUGAGUGAUGGAGAGGCAAGUGGAAUUCCUAGUGUAGCGGUGAAAUGCGUAGAUAUUAGGAGGAACACCAGUGGCGAAGGCGACCACCUGGGCUAAUACUGACACUGAGGUGCGAAAGCGUGGGGAGCAAACA